rnacentral:rRNA from 1 species
UACGUAGGGUGCAAGCGUUAAUCGGAAUUACUGGGCGUAAAGCGUGCGCAGGCGGUUCGCUAAGACCGAUGUGAAAUCCCCGGGCUUAACCUGGGAACUGCAUUGGUGACUGGCGGGCUAGAGUAUGGCAGAGGGGGGUAGAAUUCCACGUGUAGCAGUGAAAUGCGUAGAGAUGUGGAGGAACACCGGUGGCGAAGGCGGCAUCCUGGACCAAUACUGACGCUGAGGAGCGAAAGCCAGGGGAGCAAACGGG